AUUUAUGAAAGGGUGCAAAGUCAGAGCAGUAUAGGGUAGAAUUAAGCAGUCAGAAAGGGAUAUUUUAGAAAAUGUUAAAUGUAUUUUAAAUAACUAGCAAGUGGGAUAGUUUCUAGGGUAGAGCUGCUGCUUAGAAUCAUAGUACAGCAGUAACUUAGACAGUGAGAUGGAGAAAUCACUUACACUUGUAUCUACUCUGAGUUCCAAGGAAAAAUGUGGUUACUAUAGCAACUGCCACAUUACACUUAUGCAGUCUUUGGAAUAGAUUAAAUUGCUGAAAACCUCAAGGUUUUGUUUGACUCUGUUGAGAACUGCAGCUAAAUGUACUGAAGUUACUUAAUCAAACGGAUGUACAGAAAUCAUGGAUACAGUCCUGAUCUUCAUUGGUGCCUCUGGGUGUGCACUGAAAAGAAUGCAAGAAGAGUCUACCAAUAUGGCUGAUGACUGGUUGAUGAUCCAGAGAUGUUUCUUUUUAUGUGUUGGCAUGAACUAAUGGACCAUGGCUGUCGUCUGAGUGAAGGCCUCAACAUGUAUUGAAUAAAAUAAAAAAAAAGGAAAGUAAUACA
rnacentral:lncRNA from 1 species